rnacentral:rRNA from 1 species
UGCAAGUCGAGCGGAAACGAGUUAUCUGAACCUUCGGGGAACGAUAACGGCGUCGAGCGGCGGACGGGUGAGUAAUGCCUAGGAAAUUGCCCUGAUGUGGGGGAUAACCAUUGGAAACGAUGGCUAAUACCGCAUAAUGCCUACGGGCCAAAGAGGGGGACCUUCGGGCCUCUCGCGUCAGGAUAUGCCUAGGUGGGAUUAGCUAGUUGGUGAGGUAAUGGCUCACCAAGGCGACGAUCCCUAGCUGGUCUGAGAGGAUGAUCAGCCACACUGGAACUGAGACACGGUCCAGACUCCUACGGGAGGCAGCAGUGGGGAAUAUUGCACAAUGGGCGCAAGCCUGAUGCAGCCAUGCCGCGUGUGUGAAGAAGGCCUUCGGGUUGUAAAGCACUUUCAGUCGUGAGGAAGGUGGURGWGUUAAUAGCWGUAUYAUUUGACGUUAGCGACAGAAGAAGCACCGGCUAACUCCGUGCCAGCAGCCGCGGUAAUACGGAGGGUGCGAGCGUUAAUCGGAAUUACUGGGCGUAAAGCGCAUGCAGGUGGUUUGUUAAGUCAGAUGUGAAAGCCCGGGGCUCAACCUCGGAAUAGCAUUUGAAACUGGCAGACUAGAGUACUGUAGAGGGGGGUAGAAUUUCAGGUGUAGCGGUGAAAUGCGUAGAGAUCUGAAGGAAUACCGGUGGCGAAGGCGGCCCCCUGGACAGAUACUGACACUCAGAUGCGAAAGCGUGGGGAGCAAACAGGAUUAGAUACCCUGGUAGUCCACGCCGUAAACGAUGUCUACUUGGAGGUUGUGGCCUUGAGCCGUGGCUUUCGGAGCUAACGCGUUAAGUAGACCGCCUGGGGAGUACGGUCGCAAGAUUAAAACUCAAAUGAAUUGACGGGGGCCCGCACAAGCGGUGGAGCAUGUGGUUUAAUUCGAUGCAACGCGAAGAACCUUACCUACUCUUGACAUCCAGAGAACUUUCCAGAGAUGGAUUGGUGCCUUCGGGAACUCUGAGACAGGUGCUGCAUGGCUGUCGUCAGCUCGUGUUGUGAAAUGUUGGGUUAAGUCCCGCAACGAGCGCAACCCUUAUCCUUGUUUGCCAGCGAGUAAUGUCGGGAACUCC